rnacentral:rRNA from 3 species
UGCAAGUCGAACGAGUUCUCGUUGAUGAUCGGUGCUUGCACCGAGAUUCAACAUGGAACGAGUGGCGGACGGGUGAGUAACACGUGGGUAACCUGCCCUUAAGUGGGGGAUAACAUUUGGAAACAGAUGCUAAUACCGCAUAGAUCCAAGAACCGCAUGGUUCUUGGCUGAAAGAUGGCGUAAGCUAUCGCUUUUGGAUGGACCCGCGGCGUAUUAGCUAGUUGGUGAGGUAAUGGCUCACCAAGGCGAUGAUACGUAGCCGAACUGAGAGGUUGAUCGGCCACAUUGGGACUGAGACACGGCCCAAACUCCUACGGGAGGCAGCAGUAGGGAAUCUUCCACAAUGGACGCAAGUCUGAUGGAGCAACGCCGCGUGAGUGAAGAAGGCUUUCGGGUCGUAAAACUCUGUUGUUGGAGAAGAAUGGUCGGCAGAGUAACUGUUGUCGGCGUGACGGUAUCCAACCAGAAAGCCACGGCUAACUACGUGCCAGCAGCCGCGGUAAUACGUAGGUGGCAAGCGUUAUCCGGAUUUAUUGGGCGUAAAGCGAGCGCAGGCGGUUUUUUAAGUCUGAUGUGAAAGCCCUCGGCUUAACCGAGGAAGCGCAUCGGAAACUGGGAAACUUGAGUGCAGAAGAGGACAGUGGAACUCCAUGUGUAGCGGUGAAAUGCGUAGAUAUAUGGAAGAACACCAGUGGCGAAGGCGGCUGUCUGGUCUGUAACUGACGCUGAGGCUCGAAAGCAUGGGUAGCGAACAGGAUUAGAUACCCUGGUAGUCCAUGCCGUAAACGAUGAAUGCUAGGUGUUGGAGGGUUUCCGCCCUUCAGUGCCGCAGCUAACGCAUUAAGCAUUCCGCCUGGGGGAGUACGACCGCAGGUUGAAACUCAAGGAAUUGACGGGGCCCGCACAGCGGUGGAGCAUGUGGUUUAA